CCAUGUUCCUGUUGCUCAUCUCAACACUGGGGAUAUUUGCCCUGCGAGACACCAGAGCUCAGUCAGUGACCCAGCCUGAUGUCCAUGUCACCGUCUCUGAAGGAGCCCGUCUGGAGCUGAGGUGCAACUAUUCCUCUAGUGUAAGUCCUUAUCUCUUCUGGUACGUGCAGUACCCCAGCCAAGGACUCCAGCUUCUCCUCAAGUACACAGCAGGGAACACCUUGGUUAAAGGCAUCAAAGGAUUUGAGGCUGAAUUUAAGCAGCGUGAAACCACCUUCCACCUGAGGAAAUACCCAGCUCUUGGCAGCGAUGCAGCCAAGUACUUCUGUGCUGUGAGUGACACAGUGCCUGGGACCGCAGGGGGAGCUGAGCACAAACCACCCCAUGAUAGGGGAGUUUUUGGAGACUGAUGGCCUCUUCCUGUGGUAUUUAUUAAAGAUCUCUUGUUAGAUGAUGACAAAUAAGGCAAAUAGAGCUGAGCAGACCCAGAUAUUUCUACAUAAUUCUACAACUCCAUUUCUGAUAAACCUUAUUUAGCAGAUUUUUACUUUUUGUAGAAACUACAUGACAAUAAAUAGUAUUACAGAAUGAUGGAGAAGAUAGUGUUCUGAUCAUAUAAUAAUCAGAUGCUCCAAGACUUGCCUUGAGGUUGACUGCUUUAAGGGGUUAACUAUAUAAGUUUUCAUUUACUGUUUCAUCUCUCAACCAACCCGGAAAACAAAACAUGAACUCCACAUGUUCUUUCCCUGAAAAGUUUGCCCGAUUAUUUCUUUUGUCAUUCACAGAUCAUUUUCUUGGAAUCCCCUCCACCCCCAGAUUUCACUGUGCUGGUCAGAAUGUGUCAGAAUAUUUUCUUUGAGUGUCAAUUCCUUUAUU